rnacentral:tRNA from 1 species
GCCGGGGUGGCAGAGUGGUUAAUGCGCGGGCCUUGAGAGCCCGUGACCGUUAUCGGUCGCGUGGGUCCGAAUCCUACCCCCGGCG